rnacentral:misc_RNA from 1 species
UUAACUAUUAUAUAGUACUCAGACGACACAUAAACAGGUUUUGGUUAGGUCUCUGGCGAGCACUCACAAGCCGAAGCCUGUGGCAAGAUGCGUCCCGCCAAAGCAACAAGAGAAUAGAUAUCAAGGGUGGGAGAUCUACCCGUAAGGGCAAGAACUCUGUAAUGAUCCUUCCGCAGGUUCACCUACGGAAA